rnacentral:pre_miRNA from 1 species
AAAGUACUCCCUCCGUCCCAAAAUUCUUGUCUUAGAUUUGUCUAGAUACGGAUGUAUCAAGUCAUGUUUUAGUAUUAGAUACAUCCGUAUCUAGACAAAUCUAAGACAAGAAAUUUGGGACAGAGGGAGUAGUUG